GAUGCUUUGGUGCCUUCGGGAACUCUGAGACAGGUGCUGCAUGGCUGUCGUCAGCUCGUGUUGUGAAAUGUUGGGUUAAGUCCCGCAACGAGCGCAACCCUUAUCCUUUGUUGCCAGCGGUCCGCCGGGAACUCAAAGGAGACUGCCAGUGAUAAACUGGAGGAAGGUGGGGAUGACGUCAAGUCAUCAUGGCCCUUACGAGUAGGGCUACACACGUGCUACAAUGGCGCAUACAAAGAGAAGCGACCUCGCGAGAGCAAGCGGACCUCAUAAAGUGCGUCGUAGUCCGGAUUGGAGUCUGCAACUCGACUCCAUGAAGUCGGAAUCGCUAGUAAUCGUGGAUCAGAAUGCCACGGUGAAUACGUUCCCGGGCCUUGUACACACCGCCCGUCACACCAUGGGAGUGGGUUGCAAAAGAAGUAGGUAGCUUAACCUUCGGGAGGGCGCUUACCACUUUGUGAUUCAUGACUGGGGUGAAGUCGUAACAAGGUAAGCGUAGUGCU
rnacentral:rRNA from 1 species